UCAGCCAAUGGAAGUUUGAGGCAAUAACAGGUCUGUGAUGCCCUUAGAUGUUCUGGGCCGCACGCGCGCUACAAUGAUGGAUUCAACGAGUCGUCGUUCUUGGCCGAGAGGUCUGGAUAAUCUUUUGAAAUUCCAUCGUGCUGGGGCUUGCGGCUUGCAACUAGCCGCACCAACGAGGAAUUCCUAGUAUACGCAUGUCAUCAACAUGCAUAGAUUACGUCCCUGCCCUUUGUACACACCGCCCGUCGCUCCUACUGAUUGGAUGCUCCGGUGAAAAGUCGGGAGAGCGCGCGCGCAGCCAGCAAUGGCUGGCGGGCGCUCGAACUUCUUUGAAUUGUAGUAUCUAGAAGAAGGAGAAGUCGUAACAAGGUUUCCGU
rnacentral:rRNA from 1 species